rnacentral:misc_RNA from 1 species
UUUCCGUAGGUGAACCUGCGGAAGGAUCAUUCAUAAUAAGUGUUUUAUGGCACUUUUUUAAAUCCAUAUCCACCUUGUGUGCAAUGUCAGGGUUGAUUUUUCUCUCGAGAGGAUCAACCCCAAACAUCAACUAUAUCUCAACUCUUUGUCGGAAAAAUAUUAUGAAUAAAACAAUUCAAAAUACAACUUUCAACAACGGAUCUCUUGGCUCUC